CUACGGGUGGCUCCAGUCGCGAAACCUUUACAAUGCACGCAAGUGUGAUAAGGGUAUCCUACGUGUCGGCCGUUGGUCGACUUUUUUCGAGUUUAAAACGCUCGGAGAAUAAGGGGUGGGCAAGACCGGUGCCAGCCACCGCGGUAAUACCGGCGCCCCAAGUGGUAGUCGCGUUUAUUGGGCUUAAAGCAUCCGUAGCUGGUUAUGUAAGUUUCUGGUGAAAUCCAAUAGCUUAACUAUUGGGCGUGCUGGAAAGACUGCAUAGCUAGAGACCGGGAGGAGCUAGAGGUAUGUCGGGGGGAGCGGUAAAAUGUGGUAAUCCUCGAUAGACCAUCAGUGGCGAAGGCGUCUAGCUAGAACGGGUCUGACAGUGAGGGAUGAAAGCCAGGGGAGCAAACCGGAUUAGAUACCCCUGUAGUC
rnacentral:rRNA from 1 species